rnacentral:lncRNA from 1 species
UUGAAACGAGUUAUUAUCUGCAAGUUUGACCUUGCUCUUCUUCGACUCGUCGAAAUCUGCUAACCACACUUUUCGACCAGUCAUGUGAUUCAAACAACUUAUGUCUAGAAACCAGAUCUUGGUGUCGACAUGCUUAUCUACCACUGCAGCCAUAACCACAUGUCUUCAAAAUCUCUUGAAUCUUGACGUGCAAGAUAUGUUCCUUCUUUCUUGCUUUUAUUGUACCAAAAAUUCUUGGCUAAAUGACCCUAUUUUUCACAAUUAUAGCAUUGCACACCUUUUUUUUCUCUUCUUUACCUUUUUGAUAGGCUCUUUUCGAAGAUUCAGAAGUCGUAUCAUCGACCUUAUGUUUUUGAGGUUCAACCAAAACUUCUUGCUCUGAGUCUUGUCCCUUUUACCCUUGAAGUUAUUACAACCACCAUAUUUCUUCUAUGUAUGAGCUUAUAGAGCUUGUAUCAAAUCUUGAACACCUUUUACAAUAAACACAGUUGACAAAUCAAGAUCCCGAAAACAGGAUCACUGACGUAUGAUUUUUGAAAACAUGAUUAAAAAACUAACUGAAGCUAUAUAUACCAAUUUAUUAGUGCGUAAGACACUUUUAAUGAGAAAAGAAGAUAAAAAAUAUAAAAUAAUAAUUGUUAUUAUUGAAUGGUAAAACUGAAUUAUAAUAUACACAUAUUUUUAUAUAAAAUUUCUUGUACUAAGUAACAAAUUAACUACAACUUGGAUUAUAUCACAACAAAUAUGAGAUAUCCUUAUUACUGAUUUCUAAGAUAUGUUAAUAUUGAACUUAGCUGAACGGUGCAGUUCAUCAUAUGGUACAGUUCAUCAUGAUCCAUUCAGACACAAAAUUCAAUAAUUAAUAUUUUAUAAUAAUUAAUCAUAAUAUAAUUUAUUAAUAAUUAAUUAUAUUAAUUAACAUUUAAUUAAUUAAAUAAUUAAUCUUAAAAAACUACAACAAGUUACAUGUAAAUUUUACACCUUGCAUGUGCAAUAUUUAAAAAAAUUAUUAUAUUUGUAUUAUUAUGAAUAUUUAUUUUAAUAUUUAUAAUAAUAUAAUAUAAUAAAUAGUUUAUAGCAUAAAUUUUUUAUUAAAACAUAAUUUAAAAUAUUAAAAUAUUAAAAAAAUUAAAUUAAAAAAUUUAUUACUAAAAUUUAAAAUUAAUAUUUAAAAAUCAAAUAAAAAAAUAUUUUGAGUUUCAAACAUCCAUACUGUCUUCAACGCUCUCUCUUCUUCAUCCAUGUUUUAACCUUUCAACCUUUGCUGCUUCACUCAUUUAAAGUUCAUUGUCUUCUAUUUCCGUCAUCUCAAAGGUUAAUACUGAUAUAUCUUUCAGAUAUGCAUCUCAUACACAACACAAAACACACUUAAUUCUGAAACAUAUUGCAUCUAGCUAGUAAUAUAUUCAUAUCUCAUACAAUUUCACUCUUGGAAAGUUCUGGAAAUCUCUUCCAAUUUUUUUAAUUCAUUUGUUGAAUAUCAUAACUUAUACAUUUGACAGCAAUCUGACUCGGCUCAAAACUAAACAACAACUAUUUGAAUAAUUAUUAUUAAAUCUAAAAAAUAACAACAUGUUUAGUUUAAUUAAAAUUUUAUAAAUUAGAAACUUACAAUUUUCCACUGGUCAAAUAUAGUAUCUUCCAUCAAUCAUCUCAUUCUCACUCAAACGCACAUUCUUCUUUCCAGAGGGACACUAUAACAGAUAAUGUUUUUUAUGACGAAACUUUCACCACAGACAAUAUAAAAUCGCGAAUGUAUGUAACAGGAGCGCCUUGUUUUAUUUAUAAAUAAAAAUCAAUAUGUUACCUCAGUUUUAUGAAAACCAACAGAAAUAUAUGCUCAGGGUUAGAGAUUCGAUUCUCAACUCCUGCAGCUUUAUGUUUUAUAUGGAACCAAAAAGGCGCCUUUAAUUUUUAUAGAUUUUCCGUCAGAUAUGUUAUCUCAGUUUUCAUUAAAAUCGAGAUAAAUACUCUCUAAUUUUUUAUUAUUUUUGGAACCAAAAAGGCGUCUUUGUUUUUUAUAGAUUUUACGUCGGAUAUGUUAACUCGGUUUUCAGUAUAACCGCGAUAAAUACUCUUUAUAUUUGUUAUUCACUCAGUGUCUACUUCAAUCAAAAAUAGAACCUUCAACAAGUAUUUACCUAAAAUAGAAGUAGAAUCAUCAACAAGUAUUAACUUUCAAGUUUCAACCAACCAAAAUAAAUAUUUAAGUUAAACCAUCAAGCAACCAUUAACUUUUAACUAGGGGUGGCAAAACGGGCUCGGCCCGCGGGCCAUGCCCGUUUUGCCCCGCACUUUUAUGCGGGGCGGGCCAAGGAUUUAGGCCCUCACCCUCAAAUGUGUCUGCCCCGCCCCGCCCCGUUUUUUUCGCGAGCUUUUGCGGGCACGUGUAUUUACAUAAAUUUUUGUAUUUUUAGGCUUAAAGAGUGCAGUGCCCGCGGGUUUUCCCCGCCCCGCCCUCACUUUUUUGUGGGGCGGGUCUAAGUUUUAGGCCCGGAUCCUCGACUAUGACCGCCCCGCCCCGCCCCAUUUUUUGUGGGCUUUUGCGGGGCGGGCAUGCCUGUUUGCCACCCCUACUUUUAACCAUCAAGCAACCAAAGUUUAAGUUCAACCAAUCAAAACCAUAAUAAGUAUUAAGUACAACAUCAAAGUUUAAGUUUAACCAACCAAAACCAUAAUAACAUUGCCUAACAAAAUAAGAGUGAAGCAUUCUAAAACUAAAUUCUAAUCAUCAAGGUCAAGAAUAUUAGGUGCAUCCUUAGAACAAGUUGAACCUUCUUUUUAAUGGAUAUUAUUAUUGGGUCAUAUGCUUUUUUUCUUCAAAAUGGGUCAUGGACAUUUUUUAGAUAGUUUUCUUUUCUAUUUUUUUAACGAGCUAGCGGGCCAACCCUGCCCCAUUAUGUAUUCCGCCCGCGGGUAUUUUUGUUUUGGCGAGGCGGACGAAACGGGUAAGCGGACACAAAAUCUCAACCCAGUCUGUCAUUUUUUGGCGGGUGCGCGGGCCGGUCCUUUGGGUCCGACCCAUUUUGCCACCCAAAGUAGUGGAUACUUUUCUACGGCCAAAUGUGAAAAAAAAAUUCUAAUAUGCAAUUUUCCAUAUAUAUUCCAUAGAAAUCUUUGGUGUAUAUUUAAGAUGUGUAGGGACAGGAGAAAAUGAAAAGUUGCAUUCUUCCCACCAGACCUUUAAGUAAAUGAAGGAUAAGAAAUUAGGGGUGUUGAUGGAUUAGGUUGGAUCUAAUUUUAUUAAAUCUGUGUUUUUAAAGAUUAAAUCCAAAAUAAACCAACCCGGUCAUUAAAUGGUCUGGAUUGAGUUAGAUUUCCAGAGCAUCCACUAAAUAUAAUUUUAAUUUUUAAAUAAAAUAUAAAUUUAAUUAACACAUUUAUUUUACAAAAAUAUUAAAAAAUCAUAAAAUUUUAGUAUUUAAUUUAAAUAACAUGUAUUGUUUAAUGUCUUUUUAAUUUUUAAAUAAAAUAUAAAUUUAAUUAACACAUUUAUUUUACAAAAAUAUUAAAAAAUCAUAAAAUUUUAGUAUUUAAUUUAAAUAACAUGUAUUGUUUAAUGUCUAAAAACUCUUUCACAGUUCAAAUCAAAUCCAUAAGCAAAUACAAAUUAUAUAAAAUAUAAUAUAAAUGGUAAGAUGUAUCUCUCUUUAAAUAAAAUAAUUUGAUUUAGACUUAAGUUUUUAUCAUUAAUAAUUUUUUUAAUUAUAUUAAUAAAAAUAUAUAUCCAUUGUAAGAAUUAUGAUAAAUAGUUUAUAAAAAAUAAAAUAAAAAUAGCAUGACAUGUCAUUGGAUUGAAUUCGCGGAUUCACGAUUUUAAAAUUUCAAAUUUGUUACCCAAACCAAAUACUAACGUGUUUAAAUGGGUUGGUUGGAGCCGUACAUGAUUGAAUUGGAUAAAAAUAAGAGUUGGAUAAAUCAAAAUAAUAAAUGAAAUAAUAAUAACAUUAAUUGUGUUCACAAGAGACGAGGCGAUUUGUUGAAAUUUUUUAAAACUUUUAAACAUAUUAUACCGUCUAUUUUAAGUGAGGCAUUUGAAAAUAUAUUUUUAAGAGACCAACACUUGUGAAUGUAUUACUAUUAUUUUUAUUUAUUAUAAUAAAACUUCUUUUAUUUGAUUAAAUUUUAUGCAUUUUAAUUUUAGGAGAACGUUUCCGACACUGUUUAAAAGAUUAAAAAGGUAAGUUGGAUAUUUUUAAGAGAUUAAUAAUAUAUAUAUUUUUAAAAUAUGUAUUCAAUGAAAUAAAAACAUAAAUAAUUAACUUUUAAAAUAAUUUUAUAUGUAUUUAAUGAACUAAACCUAUAGUAUUUUUCUUUAUUUGAAAAUUUUAACUGAUCAUUGAUUAGGAUGACCCUUAAUUUUAUAUUUCUCUAACUAGCCUUAUUUCUUUGAUUAUGUGCUUGACUUUAUCAACUAUAGCGUUGUUUUUGUGUGUUAUAUUAAUGCACAUUUAUUUCUUUAUAAAUUUUUCUGUCAACUCUGGCUUUCUUUUUAAAUUUUAUUCUUUAUAUAUAUAUAUAUAUAUAUAUAUUACUUGUUACUUGACUUUAUUGUUUUUCUACACUCUAUUGACGUGGUUGUGAUUAUGAGUGAUAAACAGACAUGUUCAUUCUGAUUAAGUUUGUCUCACAAAAGUUUGAAAAAAAUGAGACGGAAUAAGACAAACAUAAUUGAUAGUGUGGACUUAAAAUUUUGUCACGCCCGCAAGAAAGUGAGUACGAGACAGGGUGUGCUCGCAGAUCCGGCAUAUUUUAAGUCUAAAUAUAUAAGAAUUUAGGUUAAUUUGUCCGUAAAAUCACUCAAAAAAAAGAUAGGCAGAUGCCAACACAUUAGAAGAUUUGAGCCUAAAUUCUUUAAUGCGGCUAAAACAUAUCUACACAACGAAUGAGAUCCUUUUUACCACCUCUAAUUAUGAUUCUAUCUAAAUUUGUUAAUUGAGUCAAUUUAAAUUCGAGGCUCUUUUAUCACUCUUCAACUUUUUUUAAAAAUUUAGUUAAAAGAAUAUUAAAUAUCUGUAAUUUACUAUGAAAAAUAAUUAUAAGAAUAAAUAUCAACCCCUCGUUAUCACCAACCUCCCUUAAUUCUUAUUUUAAAAAGUAAAUUAAAUUGAAAAGUAUGCUCUAAAACAUUAACAAGUUUGCAUUUUUACUUUUCGUUUCCAAAUAUAUAAUAUAUAAUUACUCAUUUAUUAUUGCCAUCCGUCACUAAAUAUUAGACUCAUUAGUAAAAAAAAGAAAAUCACAAUAUACUUAAUUAUUUCUUAUUUUUAAAACAACAAUAUCUUUUCUAAUCAUAAAUAUAUUCUAAUUGGAUUUAAUUGAAAUACACUGACACUUACGGUAUAAAUUGAUUUUACACCGUCAGUUAAUCAUAGAUGUUGGAUAUUAAAAUAAAUUUGACUUUUAUUUUAAAAAUCUAUAAAAUAAUACAAACGGAUGAUGGUGAUGAAUCGACAGUGUAAAUCUUUAUACACUCACAAUGUAUAGUAAUUAAUCUCAUUCUAAUUUACUAACGGUUUAUAAGCACGAUGUUACACUUGCACUUUGUUGCGAAUUCAUUUAUUUUUUACUUGGUGAUGUUGGAUACUUUUCUAUAGCCAAAUGUGAAAAAAAAAUCUUGAUACAAUUUUCCAUAUAUUCCAUAGAAAUGUUUGGUGUAUAUUUAAGAUGCGUAGGGAUUUAAGAAAAUGAAAAGUUGCAUUCUUCAAAAGACCAAAACUUUUCGGUAAAUAAGAAAAUGAAAAGUUGCAUUCUUCAAAAGACCAAGACUUUUCGAUAAAUGAUAUUUGUGACCAAAAAUUUCUAAUUAAGAUUAAGUAUUAGUCUAAAAACAUAAAUGUCAUAAAAUAUGAGAUUAUUGUGUAGAUACCAUAAGUCAAUAUCUAAUUUGAUGAGGCGACAAAUUAGAAUAUUGAACACUAAGAAAUAAUCAUUUGGUUAUUUAUAGGGGUUAGGGUCCCCAUUUGUAGAUAAGACAAAACCGCUUAUUAGAAUAUGACAAAUAUUAUUUUUGAGUUAUAUUCUUGAUUUCUAUAUCAAUAAAAAUAAUAAGGUUAAGAACAAAUCUAACCAAUGAUAUUAGUAUUGGUUGCAAAUAUGGUCCAGAAGGAGAUACCAAUUCAUUGGAAAUCCUUAUAUUUGUUUGCAUAUCUUUAAUUUGCAACCAAUUAUUAAUAAGAUGAAUAUUAUAUAUUAUAUAUGUAAUCAUGGAUUGAACAACUUUGGACUAUUUUUGUUUUCUAUUUUUUUUCUUUUCAAUUUAGCCUUUAAUAAUAAAAAGUCAGAAUGAAUAUUUAUUCGUAAACUCAGAUUAUGAUUUCAAAUACAAUAAUUCAUAUGUUCUUAAAAGAUAAAGAUAUUUAUAAAGUAUAUGGAUCACUAGUUUCAAAAGCAAUGGAUCACUAGUUUCUUAUUUUUACAUAUAAAUUUUUAAAAAGAGAUAAGGCUACAUUACUAAUACAGAAAAGUUCAAACUUCAAACAGUUCAUAUCUUUAUAUUUAAAAACAACUUCAUCAAACUAAUUAAUUCAUCUGCGAUUUCCACCGACUCUCUUGUGUGUUCUUUUAAGUCUUACGUUAAACAUACAUUCAAAAAAUCUUACAAGCCAUUGGAGUUUCCCAAGGAAGAACACAUUAUACCCAAACAACAAUCCAAAUAUUGCCCCACACACAUAUCCUGUUGCUACUGCUUUCCAUCCAAAUCCUGAUUUCUCUUCUUCAUCUUUUGAUGUUGACAUUGGUGGUUGAUCUUCCUCAUUUACGCAUGAUUUAGACAACGGGAAUCCACAUAACAUUGCAUUUCCAUCAUAGGAACUAUUUUCAAAUGUAUCAAACUGUUUACCUUUAGGUAUGAUUCCCUCAAGAUGGUUUUGUGAAAGGUUUAAGAUAGAGAGAAAAGUCAAAUUUAUCAAAUUUGUUGGAAUCUCUCCUAUCAAUUGGUUCUUUGAAAGAUCCAACCACUCCAAAUUUCUCAAAUUACUCAAAGAUUGAG